rnacentral:rRNA from 1 species
UACAGAGGAUGCAAGCGUUAUCCGGAAUGAUUGGGCGUAAAGCGUCCGCAGGCGGUUUUGUAAGUCUGCUGUUAAAGCGUUAGGCUCAACCUAAUAAGGGCAGUGGAAACUAUGAGACUAGAGUAUGUUAGGGGUAGAGGGAAUUCCCAGUGUAGCGGUGAAAUGCGUAGAGAUUGGGAAGAACACCGGUGGCGAAAGCGCUCUGCUAGGACAAUACUGACACUGAGGGACGAAAGCGAGGGGAGCGAAUGGG